rfam:Brachypodium distachyon strain Bd21 chromosome 1, whole genome shotgun sequence.
CAUAUACUCCCUCCGUCCCAUAUUAAGUGACUUUAUAUAUAUUACAUGUAUCUAGAUGCUUUUUAGGCAUAGAUACAUUCAUAUUUGGGCAAAUUUGAGUUACUUAAUAUGGGACGGAGGGAGAUUCG